UUUGUCACAUCCUGUUAUGUGUCGGUGAGUGCAUGGCCUCGACGUUCGUCCCGUUUCAAGAUUUUUUUCCACAAAGCCGCAGUAAUUUUACAUAUGUAAUAAAAGGCAAUAAAAUUCGUAAUGGUGUUCUGUAAAAGGCCAUGGAUUUGAUGAAAACGAAAAUGUGUGCACGUGGGAGGAAUAUCAGUUCCUAGACUUGUCAGAUGUAAAAGAAGCGGAAUUGAGCAGUUUGCAGUGCGCGCUGUUCAAGAAAACUCCUAAAAUCGCGUCCGCCGGACAAAACGGUUGGACCGAAUCUACUACAG